rnacentral:lncRNA from 1 species
GAAAAUCACAGAGAAACAAUCCUGAAUUUAUAAUUUAUAUGAAAAUUGAGAUCAUAUUUAGAAAAAAUUGGGUGAUAAGGAGUUUACCCACAGACAUCUUAAGAACCCUUUGGGAAAUAGGACUACAAGAAUUUAUUCAAUCCUAUCUAUCUUGUAACAACUUGAAUUGGAGAAUACCAAACCCAAAGAAUUACAAAGUAGUAGCAGUCUUACAUACCUCAAUACAAUAGACAAACUCGUGACUAGAAGAAGAGGGGUUGGGCUUGAUAAUUGCUUAUUGUCACGAGCCUAUUUUAAGAUGCGUGCGGAAAGCUUAACACACUCAAAAGUGAUGCUAAACUCAGUCCUCAACCCCGCUAAAAUAGUCCCCAAGAAUCAAUGAUCAUUCACACAAACAAACAAGGAAAGGAACUAAAGGAAGACAAUAUUUUUGGGAGGCCAAAGAGCCACGUUUUUCUUCUAUAUUUUCU